AGGAAAAAAGCAAGAGAACAAUCCUAAAUGAAAUAAUAGAAAAGCUGACUAUCCUCCGAUUUCAAUGAUUUUUGGAUAUGUUGUAAAAUGCAACAUUUUGGAAAAUGGAUUCUUAUUUUCCGAGAUAUUUGCAAAAAGAUGUACACGGGGUCUUUAAACUCGCCCAACUCUCCUUUAUAAACAGAACAUAAGCGGUCGGCGGGUGGUAACAAAUACUAACGCAUACCGGCAGUUUUUCGAUAACGACAUAUAUCAAUUAUAAACCUUUUUGAUAUCGCUCUAAUAAAGUGUCAGUUUUUAUAUCGUAUAUAUGUAUUUAUCGAAUAUGUACGUAUAUACGCAUGCGCGCAUAAUGAUCUCUAUGGAGAGUACGUUAUUUUGAAUUAUAUAUAUACACUUUUAUACGAUCAUUAUCAUUACAGUGUGUAUUACAUUAAUUUGCCGAAUGUAAAAUGUCAGAUAAACAUUUCGUUUCUUAUAACGUUUGCAUAAUGUUGUAAAAAUUUAACAGUAUAAAGUAUAAUUAUUUUUUAUAUUUUGAUGAAUUACUGGCAAAACUAAAAUUUAAGUAUGAGCAGAGUGACAAAAAUUGCGGUUGAUACACAGUUAUAUGAUGCAACAAAUUUUUACACAGGUUUAGGUUUAGCAAUUAGUUCUAGUGGUUUUAUAGGUGCCAGUUUUAUAAUUAAAAAGAAGGCAUUGAUUAGAUUACAAAGGCGUGGUGCAUUACGAGCUUCAUCCGGAGGAUUUGGCUAUUUGAAAGAAUGGAUGUGGUGGACUGGUUUUCUUUCAAUGGCGGUAGGAGAAGCAGCAAAUUUUGCUGCUUAUGCAUUUGCACCAGCUUCGUUGGUUACUCCAUUAGGAGCACUUAGCGUUUUAAUAUCUGCAAUAUUAGCAUCAAAAUAUCUAAAUGAAAAGCUUAAUUUGCUAGGAAAGAUUGGUUGUCUUUUAUGCAUCUUAGGUUCCACAGUUCUUGUAAUUCACUCUCCAAAAGAAGAAGAAAUCAGUACAUUAAAUGAGCUUUUAGAUAAGGUUAAAGAUCCAGGAUAUAUUAUUUACGUAUUAAUUGUAAUAGUAUGCAGUAUUUUAAUUAUUUUUUAUUUUGGUCCCGCUUAUGGAAAUCAAAAUAUCAUGAUAUAUAUUUGUCUGUGUUCAUCCAUUGGUUCAUUGACCGUUACAAGUUGUAAAGGAUUAGGACUAGCUUUGAAAGAAACCAUUCUUGGAUUUAAUAAUGGAUUUACGAACUGGUUGACAUGGGCCUUUUUAUUUAGCGCUAUAUUCUGUAUCAGCGUACAAAUGAAUUAUUUGAAUAGAUCCCUCGACUUAUAUGAAACCACAAUUGUAACACCUAUUUAUUAUGUAGUUUUCACAACAUUAGUAAUAAUUGCAUCUGCAAUAUUAUUCAGGGAAUGGGAAAAUAUGAAUGCUGAGGAUAUCUUGGGUUCAUCUUGUGGUUUUUUAACUGUAAUAAUUGCAAUAUUUCUAUUAAAUGCAUUUAAGGAAAUAGACAUAUCUUAUGAGAAUAUUAGACAUAUGCUGCAGCCUAAAAGAAAGUUACUCAUAAGUAGUAACAAUCAGUGGAGCAACAGGGAUGAAGAGAGAUUAAUAACAAGUUAUUUUGAUAAUAUUGCAUUCUGAGCAUGACAUUGAAUUUCAAGUUGGAUUCCAUCUAUAGAUUCGACAUAAAUACGUAUAAACUGAAAAGAAAACAUUCCACAAUGGCAACGUAUUCACUGUAUCACAUUGAAAAAUGUGAAAAUAAAGGAAGUUAUUGCAUUUGAUGAAUUAAAAACUGGCUAUAAAAAUCCGAUUGAACAAUGCAAUAGUUUAAAUUCGCUAGUUAUUCCAGAAUAUGGAUUACACAUUUUAAUCAACAUUUUAUUUCUAAUUAGUAGUCAAUGGCUUUCAU